UUCUGUGACAGAUAUGGAAGAUAGUGAUGGAGUAUUGUACCAAAAUUAUUAUAUGCUGGGAAAAAUAGUCUCUUCUAGGGUUUUGCGGCCCCCAACCAAAAUGGACAAUUACGACAUGUCGCCGGAGAUUCUGAGAGAAGAACCACACGGCCGCUUGUACAAAGCCACGUUCAAACCCACCGGCGAGACCGUCGUCAUCAAGAAGAUCCCGUCCAACGCUAACUUCCCGAACGGCCUACCUCCCGCCCUCUCCCGCGAGAUUCUAAUCUACCAGAAGCUUCCUAAGUCCGCUUACGUCAUCGAUCGCCGCCACGUGUUCCGCCAGUUCGAGGACGGCGGCCCCGUCUUCUACAUUGUCUACGAGCACCUCGACACUGAUCUCGCCGCCUUCAUCGCCGCCUCCUCCGUCAGUCCCUUGCCGUCCGAUUUGGUCAAGAAGCUUCUCUUCCAGCUCCUCAAGGGCGUCGACCACUGUCACCGUAACGGCGUCCUCCACCGGAACCUGAACCCCAAGAAUCUGCUGCUUGACGAGAAACAACAGAGCCUCAAGAUCGGAGAUGGGAUCAGUCAGUCUUUUGCUUUCUGCUACGACAAUUUUGUGCCGGAGACGGUCACUCUCUCUUACCAGGCGCCGGAGGUUUUGCUGGGGUCCACCGAUUUCUCGACUCCAGCGGACAUUUGGGCCGUCGGCUGCAUCUUCGCUGAGAUGGUGACUGGGGAUGUACUGUUUGUCGGAAUCGGUGAUGAUCCUAAUCAAGCUGAUAAGCAGCAAUUGCGUGAGAUUUUCAGACAGCUAGGAAAACCGAUGUUGAAUCAGUGUCCAGGACUCACUUCUUUGCCGGCUUGGGAGACCUACCAAGAAUGGGAAGGGGAAAAGAUGAAAGCUCGGUUCUAUUCGGCAGGAGAUUUGCCAUCGGAUCUGCUGGUAGCUACAGUUUCUUUGGAACAAGAUGGAGCUGAACUUCUAUCAAAAAUGCUUGCAUUUGAUCCAGAUGAAAGAAUCACAGCUAAAGCAGCACUGAACCACCCCUAUUUCAAGCAAAUGGACAUCUAAUUCUGGAUGUCAGAACAGUAACAAUGGAAAUAUCGUAGUUGGACUUGAACAAAGCGACAAACUGAACAGGAAAUAGACUGCUUGAGAAGUAGCUGUAUAUAUGGCAGUUCUUAUCUUGAUUGUGUAUAUAUUUUUGAAGUUCACAAUCAGAGCAUACUACAGGACCCAAUUCGUUGAUAUGCUUCACCUUAUACUGCUAGAGCGAGAAGACGUGUCUUGAAUGUUGAUGAAGUUGAACAGAAGCCUAAUCACGUCCGCUCAUCUAGGGACCCAUACUGUAAAUUGCCACAGAAUUUGUUGCAACGCCAUUUUCAGGCAGCUGGAACCAAUACCUUUUUAGUUGUCGAUGAUGGUUUUAUAGUGGAUGGUGAUGCCAAAUGCAGCUGUUCUGCUGAAAAAGAUGGUUUGACUUGCACAAGGGGAAAAAAAAAGGUGUACGUUGUGAAAGCUUGGUGACCGAUACUAAAAGUAUCAAAAGAGAAAAUGUACCUAAACGCAAAAUUAACACUACUAAUUUAGAGAAUUCGUUGCGCCUACAAAAGGGUGUAUAAUUUGAGAACAUAUAUUGCUCAAUUCAUAAUCUAGUUAAAU